CGAGGUCGCUGAGGAAAGGGCGUGUGUGUAAAGGUCUGUGCGCGGUGGCGUGCAGUACGUGGUGGUUGGUUUCUGCGUUUGCGGACAGGCGCCUCAGCAAGCUGAACCGGGGAGGCCGCGGGCUUCGUCGCCAGACGUCCUUGUAGCUAACUUUAGAGAGCGCUUAGCGGCGCUGGCACUGAGGAAUGGAAAUGUACUGCCAUGCAGUGGAGCAGUUCUUCCUCGGGCUCGUAACAUUACGGAAUUCCUGUUGAAAUGCGAGCUGGACUGGUGAAAACCAGAUUCUCAUAUCGUCUCAUGAGCUGUUUGUCAAGCCUUCCAGGAGGCCCCAGGCAGAGCAAUCCAAUUGAAUCACAUCCUGGUGAACUUAAGAAGGCAAGUAUUUAUUUUCAAGUCUCUUUACCACCUCUGGAAAUUAAUUGUUUUGUUGACUCACUUUCCUUCCCCAAAGGGUAACUUCUGAGUUUGUCGCCUAUUUACAAUACUGGUCUAUUUUAC